rnacentral:rRNA from 1 species
GGCUCAGAACGAACGCUGGCGGCGCGCCUAAUACAUGCAAGUCGAGCGAGAAGAUGUAGCAAUACACUUGUAAAGCGGCGAACGGGUGAGGAAUACAUGGGUAACCUACCCUUGAGUGGGGAAUAACCAGCCGAAAGGUUGGCUAAUACCGCGUACGCCUCCGGAUCUUCGGGUUCGGAGGGAAAGCUGCACUGUGAGUGCGGCGCUCUUGGAUGGGCUCAUGUCCUAUCAGCUUGUUGGUAGGGUAACGGCCUACCAAGGCUUUGACGGGUAGCUGGUCUGAGAGGACGAUCAGCCACACUGGCACUGCGACACGGGCCAGACUCCUACGGGAGGCAGCAGUAAGGAAUAUUGCGCAAUGGGCGAAAGCCUGACGCAGCGACGCCGCGUGGGGGAUGAAGGUCUUCGGGUUGUAAACCCCUUUUGCAGGGGAAGAUGGAACGGGUAACCACUUGGACGGUACCUCCAGAAUAAGCCACGGCUAACUCUGUGCCAGCAGCCGCGGUAAGACAGAGGUGGCAAGCGUUGUUCGGAAUUACUGGGCUUAAAGGGCGCGUAGGUGGUUGGGCAAGUCCGGGGUGGAAGCUCCGGGCUUAACCCGGAAAGGGCAGAGGGGACUGCCGGGCUUGAGUCAGCGAGGGGAUGGCGGAAUUCCCGGUGUAGCGGUGAAAUGCGUAGAUA